AUUGAACGCUGGCGGCAGGCUUAACACAUGCAAGUCGAACGAGUGGCGGACGGGCGAGUAAUGCUUGGGAAUCGGGCUUAUGGAGGGGGAUAACUACGGGAAACUGUAGCGAAUACCGCGUACCAUAGGAUGAGCCCAAGUGGGAUUAGGUAGUAGGUGAGGUAAAGGCUCACCAAGCCGACGAUCUCUAGCUGGUCUGAGAGGAUGACCAGCCAGACUGGGACGGCGACACGGCCCAGACUCCUACGGGAGGCAGCAGUGGGGAAUAUUGCGCAAUGGGGGAAACCAUGAGCAGCCAUGCCGCGAGAAUGAAGAAGGCCUUCGGGUUGAAAAGUUAUUUCGGUAGCGAGACGUUAACUACAGAAGAAGCACCGACUAACUCCGUGCAAGCAGCCGCGGUAAUAC
rnacentral:rRNA from 1 species